rnacentral:rRNA from 1 species
UACGGAAGGCAGCAGUGGGGAAUAUUGCACAAUGGGCGCAAGCCUGAUGCAGCCAUGCCGCGUGUAUGAAGAAGGCCUUCGGGUUGUAAAGUACUUUCAGUCGUGAGGAAGGUGUUAAGGUUAAUAACCUUAGCAAUUGACGUUAGCGACAGAAGAAGCACCGGCUAACUCCGUGCCAGCAGCCGCGGUAAUACGGAGGGUGCGAGCGUUAAUCGGAAUUACUGGGCGUAAAGGGCACGCAGGCGGUUAAUUAAGUUGGAUGUGAAAUCCCCGGGCUUAACCUGGGAAUGGCAUUCAAGACUGGUUAGCUAGAGUCUUGUAGAGGGGGUAGAAUUCCAUGUGUAGCGGUGAAAUGCGUAGAGAUGUGGAGGAAUACCGGUGGCGAAGGCGGCCCCUGGACAAAGGCUGACGCUCAUGUGCGAAAGCGUGGGGAGCGAAACGAGGAUUAGA